rnacentral:rRNA from 1 species
UGCGUAGGCGGGCUGACAAGUCGGGUGUGAAAUUCCAGGGCUUAACCCUGGAUCUGCAUUCGAAACUGCCGGUCUUGAGUACUGGAGAGGUGAGUGGAAUUCUCGGUGUAGCGGUGAAAUGCGUAGAUAUCGAGAGGAACACCGUUGGCGAAGGCGGCUCACUGGACAGAUACUGACGCUGAGGCACGAAGGUCGGGGGAGCAAACAGGAUUAGAUACCCUGGUAGUCCCGACGGUAAACGAUGGGCACUAGGUGUCGGAGGUAUCGACCCCUCCGGUGCCGCAGUUAACACAUUAAGUGCCCCGCCUGGGGAGUACGACCGCAAGGUUGAA